rnacentral:rRNA from 1 species
GUGUUAUUUAGUGGCGAACGGGUGCGCAACACGUGGGCAAUCUGCCGAGAAGUGGGGGAUAGCUCGCCGAAAGGCGGAUUAAUACCGCAUAUGAUCAGGGACGACAUCUUCCCAACAUCAAAGCCGGGGUAACCUGGCGCUUCUUGAUGAGCCCGCGGCCUAUCAGCUAGUUGGUGAGGUAACGGCUCACCAAGGCUAUGACGGGUAGCUGGUCUGAGAGGACGACCAGUCACACUGGAACUGAGACACGGUCCAGACACCUACGGGUGGCAGCAGUCGAGAAUUUUUCUCAAUGGGGGCAACCCUGAAGGAGCGACGCCGCGUGGAGGAUGAAGGCUUUCGGGUUGUAAACUCCUGUCAUUUGAGAACAAGUGUAGCUAAGUAACUACUGGCUACUUGAUAGUAUCAGAAGAGGAAGAGACGGCUAACUCUGUGCCAGCAGCCGCGGUAAUACAGAGGUCUCAAGCGUUGUUCGGAUUCAUUGGGCGUAAAGGGUGCGUAGGUGGCGGGGUAAGUCAGGUGUGAAAUUUCGGAGCUCAACUCCGAAACUGCAUUUGAUACUGCCUUGCUUGAGGACUGGAGAGGAGACUGGAAUUUACGGUGUAGCAGUGAAAUGCGUAGAGAUCGUAAGGAAGACCAGUGGCGAAGGCGGGUCUCUGGACAGUUCCUGACACUGAGGCACGAAGGCCAGGGGAGCAAACGGGAUUAGAUACCCCGGUAGUCCUGGCAGUAAACGGUGCACGUUUGGUGUGGGGGGAUUCGACCCCUCCCGCGCCGGAGCUAACGCGUUAAACGUGCCGCCUGGGGAGUACGGUCGCAAGAUUAAAACUCAAAGAAAUUGACGGGGGCCCGCACAA